UUCCCCAUUGUUUGGUCCAUUAAGAACCUGCGAGAGGCCGCUAGGACAGACGGGAAGGCUGCUGUGAAUUUGAUGAAAUUGACUCUGUUUAGGCAAUAUUACAUUGUGGUAAUUUGCUAUAUCUACUUCACCCGCGUGGUUGUAUACGCAUUGGAGACUAUUACUUCAUAUAAGUAUCUAUGGACCAGCGUGGUGGCUGGAGAGCUAGCCACAUUGGCGUUUUAUGUGUUUACUGGAUA
rnacentral:misc_RNA from 1 species